GACGAACGCUGGCGGCGUGCUUAACACAUGCAAGUCGAACGGAAAGGCCUGCUUUCCCUUGUGGUUUGCGGGUACUCGCGUGGCGAACGGGUGAGUAACCCGUGCGUGAUCUGCCCCCAACUUGGGUAUAAGCCUGGGAAACUGGGUCUAAUUCCCGAUAGUACUGCAGGGUGGUUCCUGUGGUGGAAAACGAUUUUCUAGUGGUUGGGGAUGAGCUCGCCGGCUAUCGGCUUGUUGGUGGGGUAAGGGCCUACCAAGGUGGCAACAGGUAGCCGGGCGGGGGGGGUGGACGGCAACAGUGGGACUGGGAUACGGCCCAGACUCCUACGGAAGGAAGCAGUAGGGAAUAUUGGCCAAUGGGCGGACGCCUGAUGAAGCGACGCGGGGUGGGGGAUAACGGCCUUCGGGUUGUAAACUCCUUUCGACCGCGAGGAAGCCACCUGGUUGGUAGGGUGGUGACGGUAGUGGAAGAAGAAGCACCGGCUAACUACGUG
rnacentral:rRNA from 1 species